AUUGUGCCGACAGCGUCUUUGAAAAACAUAAUCAUGCUGAUAUUCACGGCUCUUUUGGUUAUGCGAUUUGAGAACAGUGUUCUCAAACAACUGAAACGACUGAAAAAACAUUACGAUUUCUAAAUAUAAUGUACACAUAUCGUUAACUGAAAAGCAAAGGAAAGAACCCUUACAGCAGAUUUCUGAAGAAACUGAAAUCUGCUAACCACCAGUUUGCCCUCUCGCGGUUUCAUGUCGAAUAUGGAAGAAUUAAAGGAGGUAAAUGAAAUUAAUAACGAUGAGACUGAGUUGAAAGACACAGCUUUUGUAGAUGAUUUUAAAAAAGAGGAACAAGAAGAAGAGGAUGAAGAAGCAUUGCCACACUCUGAAUUUCUUGACAUCUUUGAGGAAGGUCUCGCUCUGAUGGUGCAGGACCCAUUACUGUGUGACCUGCCAAUUCAGGUCACACUGGAGGAGGUGAACUCUCAGGUAGCUCUGGAAUAUGGUCAGGCCAUGACUGUUCGAGUUUGUAAGGCUGAUGGAGAAGUCAUGCCUAUUGUUGUUGUGCAAUCUGCUACAGUGCUGGAUCUGAAGAAAGCCAUUUGCAGAUAUAUGGAGCUCAAACAGCAGCGAGAAGGAGGUGUCAAGCACAUCAGCUGGAAAUAUGUGUGGAGAACAUUUAAUCUUGUCUUCAAUGGAGAAAAAUUAGACGACGACAAAAGAAAGCUGAAGGACUACGGGAUAAGGAACAGAGAUGAAGUGACGUUCUUGAAGAAACUGAGGACAAAACUGAACAGGGGGAAUGGCCAGUCCUCUAUUACGGGUCAAAUUUGACAUUUAAAAGACAUUCAAUUGCUUUUGUUCAGUCUAUUUUGCCUUAAAAUGAAUGUUCAAGAAUUAUUCCUAUUGUUUUUUUUGUCUUUCAUCAGUAAUGAUAAAAGAGCCUUUGUUUGUUUUUUGUUUUUUUCUUUUAUGUGGGACAGAAUCUCAAACUGAUACAUUUGCAAAGAUGCAAAUGAUGGUUGACAGAAAAACCCAGAGCCAUGUAACAAACCCAUUUUAGAUCCACACAACUAGAUCAGAAUCACUAUAAUGAAGUAAAUUAACAUCAUAUUUGUGGAAUUGUAUGUUAAUUGUAUACUGAUCAUAUAAUGAAAUGUGGACAUGGUGAAAAUAUAGAGUUGGAUUUUAUUUAAUUCAUGUUUUCAUGUAUUAUUAUUUGUUUUUAUGGUUCUACCAGACCACACAAUUUGCUGUUUAAAACCCUCCCCCUGACAAUUCUUAGGUCCGCAACCUGAAUUUAGGAAAAUACAGACUUGCCACAUACUUUAAAUAUUGUAAACAUGUUCCUUGAUAUGACUAGCCUAAUAUUUCCUUGUAACUACAACACAUACAGCAGACUGGAGAAACUAAAUACACAGGUUGCUGGAAACACGGUGAUAUCACAUCAGAGAGGAAUGGGGCUCAUAGAGGUUUAGGAUCAAGUGUACGUGACUUUUCAGCUCUCAACAUGCCUCGACAAUAUUGUGAGCAGGAGCUGGAGAAUAUCUCGGAGGAGCUGAACAAACUCUCCUUACGGACGCAGCAAAUCUCCGACAGACGCAGUGUUCUGGGUUUACUGAUCGAAUACAGGCAAAAUACCGGAAGAAAUGAGCAACAGUAUUCCCAGUUAAACUCAGAAAUGCAAGAACUUGAUAAGGAACUUGAAGUUCUCUCUGAGAGGAAGAUACAACUGUUGGCAGAGCAAAAGAGAUUAGGAAGAACUACACAUUUAAUAGACACAUCUGUAUCGUCUGGUGUUGCUUUUGUGGAGACUCCACCUUCCUUUCCAGCUCCGCAGGUUAUUUUGGAUGUUCAACUACUUCCUCGAAACCCAGCCCAGACACAGUGUCCAUUCUGCCGCCAAUUUGUGACCACAGAGGUCACGACCAAAGCUGGUAGUGUGACCUGUCUCGUGUGUCUUAUUUCCAUUGUCUUUGGUUGUGGAGCUGGCUGCUGCUUGAUCCCAUUCUGUGUGGAUGCCUUCAGAGAUGUCGUUCACAAGUGUCCAAAAUGUCGGAGUACAAUACACACCUGCAAGAAGCUUUGAUGGGUGAAACUCUUGAAAACACAACAGAGAAUUAAACCGAAUCAUCACCAGAACAUCUGUGCUAAACAGAAUAUUUGGGCUAUUUAUUCGAUUUUUAUGAUGAUUAUUUAUUCUUUCAUGACCAGGUUUGGAGGAAUUUGUUUCCACAACUUUAUUUAGCCAUAGAAUGCCACCACACUGAAUUCAGGAGUUAACCUACUGGGUACCAGACCUGAACCUCACACCACUCCACCCAGAAAAGGAAUACAAGUACGCUUAAAGGUCUGAAUCUGAGAUUGAUUGUCUCGCCACAAUCUUCUGGUUUGAACUUCAAGGACAUUUAAUGCAAAUGUAUAUGAUCUGAAGUCUGAACAAAGGGGUGGAAUGUUUGCGCAACGCUUUCAGGGUUUACAGGAAUAUAAAAUGUGGGAUCUAAACACAAUACAAAACAAUGGUUCUUUGAUUAAAUUGAAUUCAAAAUUGUUCUAUGAUCUUGUUUUGGAAACAGAGAUAUAAUCUGCCCCAUGAAUAUUAUAUUUUUAUAUAAAAUAUAUUAUAAUUUAUGAAAAAACAAAUACAUCACUAUUAAAACAAAUGUCAAAUGUUUACUCUUAUAGUACGCCUUGGGUCUUGCUAUAGCUAUAAAACUCUAAUUCUAUAAGCAAACAGAAACAUUUUAAUGAUAAAACAGAAACAUUUUAAUGAUAAAAGGCUGUAUAUAUACACAAUAAAGAUAUUUACAAAGAAAACCUCAAAACAUUAUUUACAGUUGCACAAAUAUGUUUGUAUCAAAUUUAAAGCAACAAUAUAUACAAUAUGCAAAAUAUGAGGCAUACAAUCUACAUCAUACUCCAAAGGGUUAGUAAGAUUUGAAAUAUUUCCCUACUCUUGUCUUUCAAAGACUAUACCUCUUCAAAACAUAUACAUUUCUUUGAUGGACAUGUAGGGAAAAGUGACACCCCUAAUUGUCUUUACAAGCUCACCUAAAAUAUUAACUUAUGUUCCACAGCUUUGCCUGAUACAGAUAUUCCACCAAGUGUCUUUUUCCCACACACUAAAAACAUUUAUACAGCCAUAUUUAAUAUAUUUAAAAUAUGCGA